UGACGCCGCGUGCGGGAGGACGCCUUUCGGGGUGUAAACCGCUUUUCCGUGGGACGAGCGAGGACGGUACCAUGGGAAUAAGCCUCGGCUAACUACGUGC
rnacentral:rRNA from 1 species